GUAGCUACCGAUCUCAGCAAAACGACGCCAUUGUUGAUGCUAAUAUUUUUGCUGUAUCUCGCCAUUCUUGGUCAAUAUCUACCUUCGAUUUUGACGAUCGCUUGAGUUUUUCCCCAUACAGUCCAGCAGUUACGUUCAAGAGACCAUGUUUCACCAGUCGUCCACCCCUGCUGCCACUCCUGUGCCACGUCGAUCCAGGAAUAUCAGUCGUGGGAAGGAUACA